UGUAAUUAGGGUCUGAAUCAAUUGGAUUUGGAUUCAAGAUUUCGUCGGUGUAUUUUCUUCAGAUCUGGCCGUGCAGGCCGUCGGAGACAGAGAUGAUAGUGACGGUUAUUGCCAUAUCCGAGUCUGUUCGAUAUAGACUGGCAUGAGUAGGCCCAGGUGUUGCGGGCGCGGAGGAUUUCUGACGGUGGUGAGCUACUCGUUCCCGGCGGCGCCCAAUGCCAAACUGAACAAUUGAACAUUGAAGACGAUCAAUUUCAGGAUAGGGGGCAGCCACGCAGGUUGGCGCUGUUGCCAGGGACAGCAAGGGCCACGUUUUCGUCUCUGUAUGCAGAAUGCUGACCCCCAGUCGAAGUGUUGAGGAGGCCGAGGCAAAAUCUGCCCUCGCCGGACUGCAGGCCCUUGCAAAAUACUACAGCGGGCCUUUGAUCCUGGAGAUGGAUUCCCAUGCAAUCAUAAAAGAGCUAGCUGCGGGAGACCAAUCCAGAUCACAGUGCUAUGCCCUGAUCAAGGAUAUUAAACAAGCACUCUCAGUUUUUUCAGCAACCAGAAAUGUCAGCGACCAGGAGAUCAUCGCAAACGUCCCGGAUAAACUCUGUCCACUGAUGAUGUCUGAAUUUGUAUAUCCUCUAGAGUAGUUUCCUACUCUAGAUCUAAAAAAAAGGGCAUCCUCGCAGAGGUGUCACUGAGGAUGAAGGUGAGGCCAUCAAGUCUAUUAUUGUGUUAGUUUGUUUCAAAGAAAUCACGCUAAUUUAUCUCAAUAUAUAAAUUAGUCAUGGAGCAGGCUUCAGGGAAGACUAUCGAUCUAGAACUGGUCGUAUGUCCAUGAACAAUUUUCUGUUGCUCUGACUGCACGGACAGCCUCUGUAAUUUAGCCAAACAUCAUGGCACCAUGCCAUUACUUAGCUUUUUGCACACAAUUCUUGUUUGUCUCGGUGGUGCCAAACUGCCAAUAGAAGACAAGUUGUCCUGUUGAAGAACGCCACAGGUGCAUGGUUGUGUGUUAUCUAGGGUUGUAAGACCUUGAGUUACAAGAGGUCCAGUACUAAUUUUGUGUGUGUGCGCGUGUGUGUGCGCGUACAUGUGCAUUCACCCGUUCUACACACACAUGAUUUCAAAGUAUCUUUUACUGUA